UUACUAUUUAGGUCUCAAGAAGAGCCACUGACUUGUGUCAGUAACCAUGUAUUAUUGCCUAAUGACAUCCAGAAAUGAUUGUAUUCUUCAUUCAGGCAUCAGCUUGCCAAAGGAAAAUGGAAGGAAUGGAAUGGAAUAAGAAGAAAAUCAUCUCAUCUCUCACCCGAUGGGACUCAUAACCGUAGUCCACUAACAGGUAAAAAGAGAAUCUGAAGGGAGACCGGAGAAGGAGAAUGCCUUUCCUCGUAACGGGACUCAUUUACCUCAGGAUUACAUCAUCCCAUUCCACUCACCAUUAUGCUCUGGGCUGGUUUCGGGGCCAGGCCAACUUCACUUGGUAAGCUGCACUGAGCUUUCAGGUGGCAAUAAUUAAUGACCUUGGCCUUCAUCUUCAGGCAUUAUAACUCACUUUGGGUCACUUUUGCAACUCCUAAAGCAGUAAUUUUGCACCAUAAAACCAAAUUCCGAUCAAUAUGAAGCAUCUGAGGUGUGUUUAUUUAUAUAUGUAUUGCUUUUCAUCUGCAC
rnacentral:lncRNA from 1 species